rnacentral:rRNA from 1 species
GUCCUCUUGAAUUUAAUAUGAGGUCUGACCUGCCCACUGAAUUUUUUGAAGGGCCGCAGUAAUUUGACUGUGCAAAGGUAGCAUAAUCAUUAGUUUUUUAAUUGAAAGCUUGUAUGAAGGGUUGGACGAGGUAAAAUCUGUCUCUAUUUAAAUUAUUAUAAAAUUUAAUUUUUAAGUUAAAAAGCUUAAAUAAAUUUAAAAGACGAGAAGACCCUAUAGAUCUUUAUAUAAAUAUUAAUAGUAUUAAUUAAGAAUAUUUAAUUUAUUAUUAAUAUUUAUAUUUUAUUGGGGUAAUAAAAAGAUUUAAUUAAUUCUUUUUUUAUAUAAACAUUAAUUUAUGAAUAUAUGAUCCAAUAUUUUUGAUUAUAAGAUUAAGUUACCUUAGGGAUAACAGCGUAAUUUUUUUAGAGAGUUCAUAUCGAUAAAAAAGUUUGCGACCUCGAUGUUGGAUUAAAAAUUAUCUUAGGUGCAGAAGUUUAAGAUUUUGGUCUGUUCGACCAUUAAAUUUUUACA